AUUGAACGCUGGCGGCAUGCCUUACACAUGCAAGUCGAACGGCAGCACGGGGGCAACCCUGGUGGCGAGUGGCGAACGGGUGAGUAAUGCAUCGGAACGUGCCCAGUAGUGGGGGAUAACUAGUCGAAAGAUUAGCUAAUACCGCAUACGACCUAUGGGUGAAAGCGGGGGAUUCGCAAGAACCUCGCGCUAUCGGAGCGGCCGAUGUCUGAUUAGCUAGUUGGCGGGGUAAAAGCCCACCAAGGCUUCGAUCAGUAGCUGGUCUGAGAGGACGACCAGCCACACUGGGACUGAGACACGGCCCAGACUCCUACGGGAGGCAGCAGUGGGGAAUUUUGGACAAUGGGCGCAAGCCUGAUCCAGCCAUGCCGCGUGCGGGAAGAAGGCCUCGGUU
rnacentral:rRNA from 1 species